rnacentral:lncRNA from 1 species
CACUUUUUUAGUAAUUUUGUAUAGACAACAAAGUUGAAUAACAGAUUCACAGAUGGCCAAUACUUUCACUAGACUGAUUCUGAGUAGACUUCACAGUCACGUAUCACCUGGAAGUUAAUCAGCAGGGCAAACAUGUAUACAGUUGAGUCAUUGAGGUUAUAUCCAAUGUCUUCUAAUAUAAUAAUGAAAAAAGAGAAGGUGAACAUUAUUGUCUUUCCUAUCAUGCCUUUAUCAAGGUUCUCAUGACCAUACAAUCCUGGAAGUUCAUCAGCAGGGCAAAUAUGUGUACAGUUGAGUCAUUGAGGUUAUAUCUUAUGUCUUCUAAUAUAACAAUGAAAAAAGAGAAGGUGAACAUUAUUGUCUUUCCUAUCAUGCCUUUAUCAAGGUUCUCAUGACCAUACAAUCCUGGAAGUUCAUCAGCAGGGCAAAUAUGUGUACAGUUGAGUCAUUGAGGUUAUAUCUUAUGUCUUCUAAUAUAACAAUGAAAAAAGAGAAGGUGAACAUUAUUGUCU